rnacentral:rRNA from 1 species
AUUGAACGCUGGCGGCAUGCCUUACACAUGCAAGUCGAACGGUAACAGGUCUUCGGAUGCUGACGAGUGGCGAACGGGUGAGUAAUACAUCGGAACGUGCCUAGUAGUGGGGGAUAACUACUCGAAAGAGUGGCUAAUACCGCAUGAGAUCUACGGAUGAAAGCAGGGGAUCGCAAGACCUUGUGCUACUAGAGCGGCCGAUGGCGGAUUAGGGAGUUGGUGGGAUAAAAGCUUACCAAGCCGACGAUCUGUAGCUGGUCUGAGAGGACGAUCAGCCACACUGGGACUGAGACACGGCCCAGACUCCUACGGGAGGCAGCAGUGGGGAAUUUUGGACAAUGGGCGCAAGCCUGAUCCAGCAAUGCCGCGUGCAGGAUGAAGGCCUUCGGGUUGUAAACUGCUUUUGUACGGAACGAAAAGCCCUGGGUUAAUACCCUGGGGUCAUGACGGUACCGUAAGAAUAAGCACCGGCUAACUACGUGCCAGCCGCCGCGGUAAUAC